rnacentral:rRNA from 1 species
GAUGGAACAAUGUAGGCAAGGGAAGUCGGCAAAAUGGAUCCGUAACUUUGGGAAAAGAAUUGGCUCUGAGGGUUUGGCAUGGGUAUCCCAGUCCCGAACCCACUGGCUGUCGGUGGACUUCUUGAGCAGAUCCCGCAGAAAAAGCGGGUCGCCGUGUGCCGGCCAGGGGACGAACUGGGAACGGUUCCUUCGGGGGGCUUCCCCGGGAGUCAAACAGCUAAUUCAGAACUGGUAUAGGCAAGGGGAAUUCGACUAUUUAAUUUUAACAAAGCGUUGCGAUGGUCCCAACGAAUGUUUACGCAAAGUUAUUUUUGUCCAGUGCUCUAAAUGUCAAAGUGAAGAAAUUCAACCAUGCGGGGGUAAACGGCCGGAGUGACUAUGACUCUCUUAAGGUAGCCAAAUGCCUCAUCAUCUUAUUAGUGAUGGGCAUGAAUGUAUUAACAAGAUUUCCACUGUCCCUGUCUAAUAUACAGCGAAACCACAGCCAAGGGAACAGGCUUGGCAAAAUCAACGGUUAAAGAAGACCAUAUUUAGCUUGAGUCUAGUCCGACUUUAUGAAAUGACUUCAGUGGUGUAGUAUAAGGGGGAGUCGGAAGGCGAAAGUGAAAGUGGGGAACUACCCCUAUUUUUUUACCCAAGGCUCACUUCGCGGGCCGAUCCGAGGGCAGACAUUGUCUGGUGGGGAGUUUAGCUAGGGCGGCACAUCUGUUAAAAGAUAACGCAGGUGUCCUAAGAUGAGCUCAACGAGAAUAGAAAAAUCGUGUGGAUCAGAAGGAUAAAAACUCGUUCGAUUCUGAUUUCCAGUACGAAUACGAAUCGUGAAAGCGUGGCCUAACGAUCUAUUAGAGCUUCGAAAUUCUAAGCUAGAGGUGUCAGAAAAGUUACCACAAGGAUAACUAGCUUGUGGCAGCCAAGUUAUAUAGCGAAGUUUAUUUUUGAUCCUUCGAUGUCGGCACUUCCUAUCAUUGUGAAUCAAAAUUCACCCAAGUGUUGAUUGUUCACCCACCAAUAGGGAAUGUGAGCUGGGUUUAGACCAUCGUGAGAAAGGUUAGUUUUACCCUACUGAUGACAGUGUCGCAAUAGUAAUAUAAUCUAGUAAGAGAGGAACCGUUGAUUCACAUAAUUAGUCAUCGCGCUUGGUUGAAAAGCUAGUGGCGCGAAGCUACCAUGUGUUGGAUUAUGAAUGAACGCCUCAAAGUCAGAAUCCAGGCAAGAAACGACGCAUGCGCCCGCCGUCAGCUUGCCGACCCGCAGUAGGGGCCAUUAGCCCCCAAGGGAACGUUUUGUUGGCUAAGUCACCGCGACGGAAGCGGCGCGGUGACUGCCUUGAAGUACAAUUUCCAUUGAGCGGUGGGUAGAAUCCUUUGCAGAAGACAUAAAUACGUGACGGGGUAUUGUAGGUGGAAGAGUGGCCUUGCUGCCACAAUCCACUGAGAUACAACCCUUCGUCACUCCGAUUC